GCCAAGUGUGGUGGCGCACACCUGUGGUCCCAGCUACUUGGGAGGCUGAGGCGGGAGGAUCGCUUGAGCCCAGGAGUUCGUGGCUGCAGUGAGCUAUCUAGGUCGCCACAGUGCUUCUGCCUGGGUGACAGAGUGAGACCCUAUCUCUA
rnacentral:SRP_RNA from 1 species